UACGGGGGGGGGCAAGCGUUGUCCGGAAUCAUUGGGCGUAAAGCGCGUGUAGGCGGUUCGGUAAGUCCGCUGUGAAAGUCGGGGGCUCAACCCUCGGAUGCCGGUGGAUACUGUCGGACUAGAGUGCGGGAGAGGCGAGUGGAAUUCCUGGUGUAGCGGUGAAAUGCGCAGAUAUCAGGAGGAACACCAAUUGCGAAGGCAGCUCGCUGGAACGUAACUGACGCUGGAGACGCGAAAGCGUGGGGAGCAAACAGG
rnacentral:rRNA from 1 species